rnacentral:rRNA from 1 species
AGCGAACGCUGGCGGAAUGCUUAACACAUGCAAGUCGCACGCCCUGCAAGGGGAGUGGCGGACGGGUGAGUAACGCGUAGGAAUAUGUCCAGAGGUGGGGGACAACCCUGGGAAACUGGGGCUAAUACCGCAUAUGGGCUGAGGCCCAAAGCAGUGAUGCGCCUUUGGAGUAGCCUGCGUCCGAUUAGCUUGUUGGUGGGGUAAAGGCUUACCAAGGCGACGAUCGGUAGCUGGUCUGAGAGGACGACCAGCCACACUGGGACUGAGACACGGUCCGGACUCCUACGGGAGGCAGCAGUGGGGAAUAUUGGACAAUGGGCGCAAGCCUGAUCCAGCAAUUCCGCGUGGGUGAAGAAGGUCUUCGGAUUGUAAAGCCCUUUCGACGGGGACGAUGAUGACGGUACCCGUAGAAGAAGCCCCGGCUAACUUCGUGCCAGCAGCCGCCGCAG